UUAAUGACUCUCGGCAACGGAUAUCUCGGCUCUUGCAUCGAUGAAGAACGUAGCGAAAUGCGAUACUUGGUGUGAAUUGCAGAAUCCCGCGAACCAUCAAUUCUUUGAACGCAAGUUGCGCCCGAAGCCAUUUGGCCGAGGGCACGCCUGCCUGGGCGUCGUGA
rnacentral:rRNA from 7 species